rnacentral:rRNA from 1 species
CCUACGGGUGGCAGCAGUGGGGGAUAUUGCACAAUGGGGGAAACCCUGAUGCAGCGACGCCGCGUGGGUGAAGAAGUAUUUCGGUAUGUAAAGCCCUAUCAGCAGGGAAGAAAGAAGACGGUACCUGACUAAGAAGCCCCGGCUAACUACGUGCCAGCAGCCGCGGUAAUACGUAGGGGGCGAGCGUUAUCCGGAUUCACUGGGUGUAAAGGGAGCGUAGACGGCCGUGCAAGCCAGGAGUGAAAGCCCGGGGCCCAACCCCGGGACUGCUCUUGGAACUGGGCGGCUGGAGUGCGGGAGGGGCAGGCGGAAUUCCUGGUGUAGCGGUGAAAUGCGUAGAUAUCAGGAGGAACACCGGCGGCGAAGGCGGCCUGCUGGACCGCGACUGACGUUGAGGCUCGAAAGCGUGGGGAGCGAACAGGAUUAGAUACCCGGGUAGUC